GACGAACGCUGGCGGCGUGCUUAACACAUGCAAGUCGAACGAUGAAGGAGAGCUUGCUCUCCGGAUUAGUGGCGAACGGGUGAGUAACACGUGACUAACCUGACCCUUUCACUGGGAUAACGCUCCGAAAGGAGUGCUAAUACCGGAUACGAACUCUGAACACAUGUUCGGAGUUGGAAAGUUUUUCGGAAAGGGAUGGAGUCGCGGCCUAUCAGCUGGUUGGGGAGGUAACGGCUCACCAAGGCGACGACGGGUAGCCGGCCUGGGAGGGCGACCGGCCACACUGGGACUGAGACACGGCCCAGACUCCUACGGGAGGCAGCAGUGGGGAAUAUUGCACAAUGGGCGAAAGCCUGAUGCAGCGACGCCGCGUGAGGGAUGAAGGUCUUCGGAUUGUAAACCUCUUUCAGUAGGGACGAAGCGAAAGUGACGGUACCUAAAGAGGAAGCACCGGCUAACUACGUGCCAGCCGCCGCCGUAA
rnacentral:rRNA from 1 species